rnacentral:rRNA from 1 species
GCGAUGCCCCGAGUGGUUCCACGGCGAGGGCACGCCAUCUUCGGCUUGAACGCUCCGGUGCCGUAGUCGUGCACUUCUCCCCUAGUAGAACGUCGCGACCCGUUGCGUGUCGGUCUACGGCCCGAGUGGGCGCCUGUCGAGUCGCCUCGCGCGCACUCGUCAGACCCUCGGUCGCCCGGCCGGCUGCACGACGGUACUCGCACGGUAUCGGGCCGCAACCAAUCCAUUCUCGCGUAUGCGUCAGGUCCGCCGCAAGCUCGGUUAGUUCUUACCCGGUGGUACGGACCUCGCGCCGUCCCCGGGCCUAACCAGCUGUUAGCAGGCGGUAUCCUCGGACUGGCCAAGCUUCGAAUUACCGGUCGGCGACGCUAUUGCUUUGGGUACUCUCAGGACCCGUCUUGAAACACGGACCAAGGAGUCUAACAUGUGCGCGAGUCAUUGGGAUGCACAAACCUAAAGGCGAAAUGAAAGUGAAGGUCGUCCUUAGCGUCGACCG